rnacentral:rRNA from 1 species
AACGAACGCUAGCGGCAGGCUUAAUACAUGCAAGUCGAGGGGCAGCAUGAUUGUAGCAAUACAAUUGAUGGCGACCGGCAAACGGGUGCGGAACACGUACACAACCUUCCAACAAGUGGGGGAUAGCCCAGAGAAAUUUGGAUUAAUACCCCGUAACAUAGCGAUGUGGCAUCACAUUGCUAUUAUAGAUUUUUCGCUUGUUGAUGGGUGUGCGGCUGAUUAGAUAGUUGGCGGGGUAACGGCCCACCAAGUCUACGAUCAGUAGCUGAUGUGAGAGGAUGAUCAGCCACACGGGCACUGAGACACGGGCCCGACUCCUACGGGAGGCAGCAGUAAGGAAUAUUGGACAAUGGACGCAAGUCUGAUCCAGCCAUGCCGCGUGAAGGAUUAAGGUCCUCUGGAUUGUAAACUUCUUUUAUAAGGGACGAAAAAAGGCUUUUCUAAGUCGUCUGACGGUACCUUAUGAAUAAGCACCGGCUAACUCCGUGCCAGCCGCCGCCGUAAAAC